rnacentral:rRNA from 1 species
GAUGAACGCUGGCGGCGUGCCUAAUACAUGCAAGUCGAGCGAACGGACGAGAAGCUUGCUUCUCUGAUGUUAGCGGCGGACGGGUGAGUAACACGUGGAUAACCUACCUAUAAGACUGGGAUAACUUCGGGAAACCGGAGCUAAUACCGGAUAAUAUUUUGAACCGCAUGGUUCAAAAGUGAAAGACGGUCUUGCUGUCACUUAUAGAUGGAUCCACGCUGCAUUAGCUAGUUGGUAAGGUAACGGCUUACCAAGGCAACGAUGCAUAGCCGACCUGAGAGGGUGAUCGGCCACACUGGAACUGAGACACGGUCCAAACUCCUACGGGAGGCAGCAGUAGGGAAUCUUCCGCAAUGGGCGAAAGCCUGACGGAGCAACGCCGCGUGAGUGAUGAAGGUCUUCGGAUCGUAAAACUCUGUUAUUAGGGAAGAACAUAUGUGUAAGUAACUGUGCACAUCUUGACGGUACCUAAUCAGAAAGCCACGGCUAACUACGUG